rnacentral:lncRNA from 1 species
CUUAUUGUCACUAUAGAGCUUCCUUUGUGCAUGUCCUCGUCCUGUCUCAGUGCAUGUGGACGUCGGAAUCGCCUGUGGUUUGUCACUGUUAGGUCUGCCUCCUUGUCCGUCUGUCAUUGGUUGCAUGUCCGUUAGGUGGCGUCUGUACAGAGCAGCUGUGUCCUCCACCUUGUGCUGUACUGUCAGAUUUUUAAGGUUGCUUUACCUUUUACGAGUCAAUUCUGGCUUAACUUUCCUUUACAGUGAAAUUACAGAUAGCAACAAAGGCCGGAAGAUGUUGGAGAAGAUGGGUUGGAAAAAGGGAGAAGGCCUGGGGAAGGACGGUGGCGGGAUGAAAACACCG